rnacentral:rRNA from 1 species
AGUGAACGCUGGCGGUAGGCCUAACACAUGCAAGUCGAACGGCAGCACAGUAAGAGCUUGCUCUUACGGGUGGCGAGUGUCGGACGGGUGAGGAAUACAUCGGAAUCUACUUUUUCGUGGGGGAUAAUGUAGGGAAAUGUACGCUAAUAACGCAUACGACCUACGGGUGAAAGCAUGGGAACUUCGGACCUUGUGCGACUGAAUGAGCUGAUCCCGGAUUAGCUAGUUGGCGGGUUAAAGGCGCACCGAGGCGACGAUCCGUAGCUGAGCUGAGAGGAUGAUCAGCCGCACUAGAACUAGGACACGAUGCAUGCUCCUACGGGAGGCAGCAGUGGGGGAUACUGGACAAUAGGCGGAAGCCUAGUCCAACCAUACGGCGUAGGUUCGGAAGGACUUCGGUUUCUAAAGCCCUUUUGUUGGGAGAGAAAAGCAGCAGAUUAACACCCCGCUGUUAUGACGGUACCCAAAGAAUAAGCACCGGCUAACUUCGUG